rnacentral:rRNA from 1 species
UACGUAGGGUGCAAGCGUUAAUCGGAAUUACUGGGCGUAAAGCGUGCGCAGGCGGUUAUGCAAGACAGAUGUGAAAUCCCCGGGCUUAACCUGGGAACUGCAUUUGUGACUGCAUUGCUGGAGUGCGGCAGAGGGGGAUGGAAUUCCGCGUGUAGCAGUGAAAUGCGUAGAUAUGCGGAGGAACACCGAUGGCGAAGGCAAUCCCCUGGGCCUGCACUGACGCUCAUGCACGAAAGCGUGGGGAGCAAACAGG